ACAUUGAUGGUUCAGUGGUAGAAUUCUGGCCUUCCAAGUCUGAGAUCCAGGUUCAGUUCCCAGCCAAUGCA
rnacentral:tRNA from 1 species